UUGGAGUGCGUACUCCUCAUAUCACCACAAAGCACCUCGAAGUAACGUUUGAUUCAGAAAACUACAUCGCAAAACCUAAGUUGAGUGCCAGGCCCUUGGGCCCUUUGUUAAACUAGUCAAGCCAUGAAGACCGCUGUCGUUAUGAUCCUGGCCCUUGUGCUAGUAGGCGUAUUGGCUACAUUUGUCAUCGAAGUUGAUUCGGCAUGUACGCCUUCAAGAGGGAAUAUAUGCAGUAAACCCACCGACUGCGGCUGCGGCGGCGUCUGUGCAAUGGAAGGGAUUAAGGGUAUAUGCACACUCUAAAAUACUAGUAACAUAGGCGAGUCGUCCUUGGUUUCUCGGCAGAAGUAGACACGCAUCAUCUCAUUUGGCUGUACAUUAAUGUUGUCCUAAAAGAGAGCGAUGAAUAAAAGCUGCAAAGCAAUAAUGUUGUCCUCG